GGGGAAGUGCUGGAAUUGGCAGACAGGCAUGACUUAGGAUCAUGUGCUCGUAAGAGCGUGUGGGUUCGACCCCCUCCUUCCCUA
rnacentral:tRNA from 1 species